CCGGUAUUUUUCCCUCUGAAAUAUUAAGCUUCAUACGAAUAGUUUUCGCCGCCCCGAAUAGUAACAUACCCGUCUCGCAUUCUGCAACCGAAAGUAACACCAUUUGACAAACAAUAUCUCUGAAUCAUUCCAUGUUUCCAUUGUCUUUUCUAAAAACACCGGCAUAUCACCCUUAAGAGGCAAUUGUAAUGUCAUUUUUUUUUUAUCAACUUUUUGAGCUUUUGAAUAGUUUCAUUU
rnacentral:lncRNA from 1 species